rnacentral:rRNA from 1 species
UACGGGGGGGGCAAGCGUUGUUCGGAAUUACUGGGCGUAAAGGGCUCGUAGGCGGCCAACUAAGUCAGACGUGAAAUCCCUCGGCUUAACCGGGGAACUGCGUCUGAUACUGGAUGGCUUGAGUUUGGGAGAGGGAUGCGGAAUUCCAGGUGUAGCGGUGAAAUGCGUAGAUAUCUGGAGGAACACCGGUGGCGAAGGCGGCUUCCUGGCCUGUUCUUGACGCUGAGGCGCGAAAGCUAGGGGAGCAAACGGG